GAUGAACGCUAGCGGCAGGCCUAAUACAUGCAAGUCGGACGGGAUCCAUCGGAGAGCUUGCUCGAAGAUGGUGAGAGUGGCGCACGGGUGCGUAACGCGUGAGCAACCUGCCCAUGUCAGGGGGAUAGCCCGGAGAAAUCCGGAUUAAUACCGCAUAACACUGUAACCUGGCAUCAGGGCACAGUUAAAUAUUUAUAGGAUAUGGAUGGGCUCGCGUGACAUUAGCUAGUUGGUAGGGUAACGGCCUACCAAGGCAACGAUGUCUAGGGGCUCUGAGAGGAGAAUCCCCCACACUGGAACUGAGACACGGACCAGACUCCUACGGGAGGCAGCAGUAAGGAAUAUUGGUCAAUGGAGGGAACUCUGAACCAGCCAUGCCGCGUGCAGGACGACUGCCCUAUGGGUUGUAAACUGCUUUUGUCAGGGAAUAAACCUAUCUAUGUAUAGAUAGCUGAACGUACCUGAAGAAUAAGGAUCGGCUAACUCCGUGCCAGCCGCCGCUGUAAAAC
rnacentral:rRNA from 1 species